rnacentral:sRNA from 1 species
AUAUAUUAGAGUACUAAGAGUAGAAAUAUUUCAGAUUAGAAGUAAAAUAGAAGAUGCCUUUCAAUUUUUUAAUUGAUAAAUCUAGGGCAAAAUUCAGCAGAAUGUUAAUAUGAAGUUUUAUUUUCAGAAAUCAUGCCUAAAACGAAAAGGACUGCACCAUAAUUACACCAGUAAAUGCAUUGAUUCCCCCUGCUUCAAACAUAAGAGAGGAACUUACACCCAGAAAAAAAGCCUUAAAAAGGCGUUUUUCUUUGCUCUCAGGAGUCUAGGAGUGAGGAAAGAAGCAGACACACAGAAAACAAUGAAGCAACUCAAAUUACAAAAAACACCCUGAUCUUAUUGUUGAGGAUGUGUUACAACGGAUAACUGCCUGACUCACUGCCUGGUUGUAUGAUCUGUUCGAAACCUGUCCAGUUCCAUCCCUGCUGUCCUUCAAGAGUUUUAGGCUAGGACGAAAUAUUACUACUUCAUGACUACACACAGUGGCAUCUAACUGUGAGGUCUUUAUUACAACAGAUCGCUGCCUCGUUGUUUGGUUUUGAAAUGCCAUCAUGAUGAUCACCUUUUUUAAUCCUGCACAGUUCCAUCCCCUGCUGUCCUACAGGGUUUUGUACUAAGAUGUAAUAUUACUACUUAGAAUAUCAUGUCUCCCCCCAGAGACAAUCUACUGUUGAGGACUUAUUACAACGGAUCACUACCUUCAUUCUGUAUGGGCUUCAAAGUGUCGUCUUAAGGGUCACCUGUUCAACCCCUGCCCACGUCUAUCCCCAUCUUAACAUACAGUACUCUAGAAUUCAAACAUUUUUUGAAACAGUUGUUUGGCAUCCUUAUUUUGAACUUCUCUACGAUCUGCUUUGUGCUUGUGAUCUCAUAAAAGUUCUUGUUUUAAAGAAAAACAUUAUAUAAGUGCACAAUAAAGAAAUGGCUGUAAGACGUACUAAAAUAGUAAAUUUAGAUCAAAUCAUGACUGAUCAGCAGAAAAAAAUGAGAAGUGGACUUAAACAAGAUUGUCAGCAGCAAUCAAUACAAAAGAAAACUGCCUGGCCUGGUUAGCCAAACGUCGAUUGAUUAGAAAUACACACGACUGUAUCAUAUGUCAUCAGCCAGCAACAUUGGUCGCGUAUGCUCAAGGAAUCAACGGCUUCCGUUGGUCAUGCCGAGGAUGUGCUUUUCGCAAAUCAGUUCGAGAUAAUUCGUUCUUCAGUGGUAGUCACAUAGCACUUGAACAGUUGUUACAGUUGAUUAACUGUUGGUGUUAUGACAUGCCCCAGUUUAACAUUAUCCAUGAAACAAAUAUUUCAUGCAAAACUAUUAUAGACGUGCAAUUUUCGCAGAGAGGAAUGUGAAAACUAUAUAGAAAGACACGGACUUUUGGAAAUCGGUGGCAUCGUCAAAAAUGGAGAUCCAAUUGUUGUUGAGAUAGAUAAGACAAAAUACCAUAGAUGUCAGUGGAGAGAAGGCCACUGGGUGUUUGGAGGUGUUGAAAGAUUUUCCAAAAAAUGUUUUUUAGUCGAAGUGCCUGAUCGCACUGCAGCAACAUUAACACAAGCUAUAACACAACACAUUUUGCCUGGUACGCACAUAGUAUCUAAUGGAUGGGCUGCUUAUGCUAAUAUAGCAAACAUAAAUAAUGGGGUCUACAGUCAUUCUGUAGUGAUACAUCAAGACCACAAUGACAGCGAUACACACACUCCAAACAUCGAGACAACUUCGUAGACCCCAACGACAGCGAUACACACACUCCAUACAUGGAGACUAUGUGGAUGAGAACUAAACGAAA